CAGUCGCCGCGGUAAUACGAGGGGGGCAAGCGUUGUUCGGAAUUAUUGGGCGUAAAGGGUGCGUAGGCGGCUUGACAAGUCUUGUGUGAAAUCUAUGGGCUCAACCCAUAGUCUGCACGGGAAACUGUCGGGCUUGAGAAUGGGAGAGGUGAGUGGAAUUUCCGGUGUAGCGGUGAAAUGCGUAGAUAUCGGAAGGAACACCUGUGGCGAAAGCGGCUCACUGGACAUUUACUGACGCUGAUGCACGAAAGCUAGGGGAGCAAACAGGAUUAGAUACCCCGGUAGUCCCUGUCUCUUAUAC
rnacentral:rRNA from 1 species